rnacentral:rRNA from 1 species
AAUCCCGUGAACCAUCGAGUCUUUGAACGCAAGUUGCGCCCGAAGCCCUCGGGCCGAGGGCACGCCUGCCUGGGCGUCACGCAUCGCGUCGCCCCCCCUCCCCCACCCCCCGUUCGGGGCGGGGCGCGGGGGCGGAUACUGGCCUCCCGUGCGCCUCCGUCGCGCGGCCGGCCC